UCUAGGAUGGCAUCAUGAGACCGAAACUAUGAAUGUACAAGUUGCAUCUUCAAAAUAUGCAUGAGCAAUGUGCAGUCUCCAUUGGCAAUAUUGCUAGCAAUUUUUUGCAAUCUUUAAUUGCCUGUCGAAAUGCCCCGUUAUUUAUUGAUAACUAGUAGUGCGAACCCUACAAGAAACUGCUGACGGGUUCACCAAUACACUCACAUUUAUUAUGUCAGUACUGACAGUCAAAUGAACAGACAAUCAAAUUAACAGUAAACUGUCAGUGUUUACGAUUUUUCAAAAAUUUUCUGUAUUAGUCGAAAAAAGACAGCAUAUAUUUCAAUAGAAGUUUCGAGAAGUUGUGAAACAGCUAUGAAGCUGUUAUUCCGUGCGAUAAUCCAAAAGUGUUGCGUGCUCCUGUGCAAUAACUCUCUUUGUGUUAAAAAAAUAAAUAAAUAUCGAGGGAGUUUUCAAAUAUAUACGUCAGUAAUUAUUAUGUUUCAAAUAAAAUUAUUUUUUUUUUGUUAAAUCUUCAUUUUUUGAGGCAUUUUUAAAUUCCGAAAUAUUUAUGAACUGGAGAAACACAUACAACAGAGCUUGUGAGAGGAGCAAGGAUGGAAACAAGUGAAAUUUUCUUUUCAUAAUUUAUUAUUUAAUAAUAUUUUUUCACACUCUUUUUUUGUAUUUAUGUAUAUUAUUAUAACUUAUAUUAAUUAAAUUUUUGAAUUUAUUAAAGAAAUAAAAAUUAUAUUAUCUACUGCGCAAAAGAAUUUUAUACUUGUAUAGACGUACAGUCAUAACUGACAAAUUGCAGCUAUGAUAACGUUUCAGUCAUAACUGACUAUUUUCAGCAAUGAUGGACGUAUGGUCAGCAAUGACUCAAGAAAGACAUGAGAGUGAGCAGUAUAGAUAUAUAGUGAAUCAAUUCCGAAUACCCAUGUAUUAAAGAGAGAUGCAGACUCACACACACGUUUUUUUACAUCAGUUUUUACACAAGACUCUUAAGAAAAUGAUAGAAACUUUGUUCUGCGCGUUGACAAAAAUGACUGUCACUGUUCCUGUCUGGAAGUGAAGAUCUCUGCAAACUACUUACUUUACCUUCUCAGAUACAUACAUACAUAUACAUAUAAAACACAUAAAGCAACGCAUAAAAUAUGGGCGUAUUGAAGCAAGUUUUGCUGGUAAACGGCCUUUAAACGACCUACACGCGCUCUUCGCUAAGCAAAAACGAAAUUCGUUCGUAUUGCCAUAUGAGGAGCGGGACUCAGAAAGAAACUCUUGCCAUAUCUUUAAACGAAUUCACAUAGGCAGUCUUAUACAUACAUAUCUACAUAUAUGUAUAUGUGAUAUACAUCUGUAUGUAUGUAUACUUUCGAACAUUUACGAAUUCAAUUCUUGUUUGUGUAUCCACGUUAUGGUGUAUAACUAUUUGGUUUCUGUCGACUCCAAGACGCCUUCUUCCCACCCAAACCUCCUCGCAUGCCAUUGAAGGUAAUAUUUAAUGUGUGUAUUUUUCAUUUUUAAUUUGAUCUCUCAUGGCUCUCCAUGACUAUUUUAGCUCCAAUGAUAGCCACAAAUAAAAUUAUGUUGAUACAUUGAUAUACUUAUGUACAUAUGUAUGUAAACUGAGAGCAAAGUUGCUUCGACUUUAAGUUCGUACACAGUAGUUUUGAUAUCCGAACGCUGUGCACAAACCGUUGUUCUACGGCUGGCCACUCAUUCGCGGAACAACUGUCUAUCGCUGCAGAUGUGGUAACGGUUUGUGGACUGUAGUUAGUAAACCGUAAACUUGAUUGUUAAAAAUCGUGUUUCAGCCCUCGUUUUGUGAACUUCGCUUUCGUCAAUUUUCACAUCUAUACAUAUACAUACAUGUAGAUGUACAAGCAAUUACAUAUGUGUUGAUUUUUCCAUAUUCUGCGAUGAUCUUGUACUUUUUAGCUUUGUCGGUCGUCACUAUUCGCAUUCCGCUGUUCUGGCGACAUAGUUUUCGUAAAUGCACGUAACGGUACUCUCGCAAAUUCCACAAAUCCCGCUAGACAAGUAAAAUAUAGCAACGCAAAUAGAAACAAAAAAAUUAUGGAUUAAUAGAUUUAGAUCGAUGUUUCAUUGGUGAUGCCAACUAAGUGAAGAUUUGAGGGCUAAUUAAGAAGAUGAAAAUUUUUAAACAAAAAUCAAAACAACUCAAUUCUGUUAUUGCUCACGAAAUAAAUAGAGGAAGGUAAAUAACUGUUAAAAUGUGCAUUAGUAGAGCCAAAACGGAUAUGCUGCAUAUACGACAACGCUUUUAAGGCUGAUCAAAUCCAUUGGAACUUUCUAAUACCAAUUGUACGCACAUGCUUAAGGUCAAUCGAAGUUUUUCAACAUUUUGCCAUAAGAAUUAAGUUUUAGACAUCGGCGAACGCAGAGAGGAAUGCAAGAUCUAUUUAAAACACAUGCAUAUAUUUAGAAGGAUACUUUUAUUUAUGAAUUGUUUUUACUUUUAACAUAAUUGAGAUAUAAACUAUCCUAUAUUUUAAGUUGGAUCAGACUCCGGACAAACAAUGGGUUCAACUUCAUUGUUUGUCGAAAUCUUGAAUGGAUUACAUCAAAUUUGGCAUCAUAUUAAUUUAUUUUGAUGUUCAUAGACUCACUUAGUUUCAUAACUAUAUAUUACAUCCCAUCAGCAAAAAAUUGUACUUAAAUCAUCCUCUAAUGAAAUAAAAUGUUCCCCACAAGUCGUGCUAUAAAAAUAAACCGUAAUAACUUUUUUGUUAUAAAUGUAUUACAUUUAUUUAUUUAUAAAUAAAAAAAAAUUUUAUUUUAUUUUAUAUAAAAAAUUAUUUUUAAAAAUUAUGGACCGUAAAUGACCCUGACAUGCUCAGCGGCCUGAAGGGUUGAAGUCGGAACUGCCUCAAUCAUUUUUUUUAAUGGACUACUUCAAUCUCGUCAGGUUUCUUGGUUUUGCUCUCUCGCUUGGCAUAACCCCAUAAAAAAAACUCUGGCGCAGUCAGGUUAAGUGACCUUGGGGGCGAGAGGAAAGUGGAGAAUAUUAAUUGGUUUUCAAAUUUGCGUUGGAGCUCCGCAAUAACCGGUCUGGCUAAGUCAUAAACAUGUUUACCAACAAACAUGUCCAUCUACUCGGGGAGUGCCGUCAAAAUUCCGCCUGAAUUCCCUUUGAAAUGACGGACUGCAAAGCAUGGUACCGCUGCACUAUCCAAACCCUCUUUUCGGUAUACCAAACAUUCAUUUUUAAAAAAUUUAAAUAAUAACAUGCCAAAUAAAAAAAAAUUAAGACGAAUGCUAACACAGAAAAAGUUAUUAAAGGUUUGUUUUUGUGGAACGAUUCGUCAGUCACCC